UGGACAGAAUUGCAAGUUUUUGAGUUUUCUUGGGGUGAACUUUGGAAGCAGGGGCUUUGUGGAGUUGAGUCACAUCCCCUAUCAACCAGUACUGGAAUUGGGACCAUCUUCACCUGAUUUGGAGAUUGUUAGGUGUGUUUUGAUAUUGGAAUUGGAUAAAUCCUAAGCUUAAGGGCUGAAAUUGAUGAAUUAUAAUGGAUUUUGGGUGAAUUGUUGUAACACAC
rnacentral:lncRNA from 1 species